CACGUAGGGCGCAAGCGUUGUCCGGAAUUAUUGGGCGUAAAGAGCUCGUAGGCGGUCUGUUGCGUCCGCUGUGAAAACCCAGGGCUUAACCCUGGGCUGGCAGUGGAUACGGACAGACUAGAGGUAGGUAGGGGAGAAUGGAAUUCCCGGUGUAGCGGUGAAAUGCGCAGAUAUCGGGAGGAACACCGGUGGCGAAGGCGGCGCACUGGACCAUAACUGACGCUGAGGCGCGAAAGCUAGGGGAGCAAACAGG
rnacentral:rRNA from 1 species